UACGUAGGGUGCAAGCGUUGUCCGGAAUUAUUGGGCGUAAAGAGCUCGUAGGCGGUUUGUCGCGUCUGCUGUGAAAACCCGAGGCUCAACCUCGGGCCUGCAGUGGGUACGGGCAAACUAGAGUGCGGUAGGGGAGAAUGGAAUUCCUGGUGUAGCGGUGGAAUGCGUAGAGAUCGGGAAGAAUACCAGUGGCGAAGGCGUUCUGCUGGGCCGUUGCUGACACUGAGGCGCGACAGCGUGGGGAGCAAACAGG
rnacentral:rRNA from 1 species